ACGAACUCCUGGUAUUGAUUGGUGCUUGCAUCAUGAUUUACAUUUGAGUGAGUGGCGAACUGGUGAGUAACACGUGGGAAACCUGCCCAGAAGCGGGGGAUAACACCUGGAAACAGAUGCUAAUACCGCAUAACAACUUGGACCGCAUGGUCCGAGUUUGAAAGAUGGCUUCGGCUAUCACUUUUGGAUGGUCCCGCGGCGUAUUAGCUAGAUGGUGGGGUAACGGCUCACCAUGGCAAUGAUACGUAGCCGACCUGAGAGGGUAAUCGGCCACAUUGGGACUGAGACACGGCCCAAACUCCUACGGGAGGCAGCAGUAGGGAAUCUUCCACAAUGGACGAAAGUCUGAUGGAGCAACGCCGCGUGAGUGAAGAAGGGUUUCGGCUCGUAAAACUCUGUUGUUAAAGAAGAACAUAUCUGAGAGUAACUGUUCAGGUAUUGACGGUAUUUAACCAGAAAGCCACGGCUAACUACGUGCCAGCAGCCGCGGUAAUACGUAGGUGGCAAGCGUUGUCCGGAUUUAUUGGGCGUAAAGCGAGCGCAGGCGGUUUUUUAAGUCUGAUGUGAAAGCCUUCGGCUCAACCGAAGAAGUGCAUCGGAAACUGGGAAACUUGAGUGCAGAAGAGGACAGUGGAACUCCAUGUGUAGCGGUGAAAUGCGUAGAUUUAUGGAAGAACACCAGUGGCGAAAGCGGCUGUCUGGUCUGUAACUGACGCUAAGGCUCGAAAGUAUGGGUAGCAAACAGGAUUAGAUACCCUGGUAGUCCAUACCGUAAACGAUGAAUGCUAAGUGUUGGAGGGUUUCCGCCCUUCAGUGCUGCAGCUAACGCAUUAAGCAUUCCGCCGGGGGAGUACGGCCGCAAGGCUGAAACUCACAGGAAUUGACGGGGGCCCGCACAAGCGGUGGAGC
rnacentral:rRNA from 1 species